UACAUAAAAUCAGUCUUAGAGGGGAAACACUGGUUGGGCUGUUGAAUGAAUGAAUGAAUGAAUAAAAAAUUAAAAAUAAUAAAUAAAUAAAGCGCUGGUUGCUCUUCCAAAGGAACUGAGCUCAAUUCUCAGCACCCACAUGGCAGCUCAACAUUUUAACUCCAGUUCUAGGGGAUCCAACACUCUCACACAGACAUACAUGCAGAUAAAACACCAGUACACAGAAAAUAUAAAAUAAAAACCAACAAAAAUGUAUAUAAACUAAUUAUAAGGACAAACUUGGGGACUCAAACUUCUUGGAACAUGUAAGACUCUCUUGGUAAGCAGGCUACAUAACCAGUAGGAAGGAACUGCCUCAGAGAAAGGCAAGAAUAGUAUGUGUUACAGAGGUCACCAGACCCCUUUGUCCAUUCUUCCGUUAUUCCCAGGGUGGCCACCUUGGUGAAAUCUCCUUUUUCUGUUUUUUUCCAUUCAUUUUUAAAUUUGUGUUUUAGGAGAGGCAGCUGAGCCUUGCUUAUUGGUGCCACCAGAGAAAUGACACUUUUGGGGAACCAGCCACUCAUAGGAAAAGGGAUCGGAGGGAUGGAGUGGCCACAGGUGAAGUUAAAAUGAAGCCAUUAGGGAAGAUCUUAAUCCCAGAACUUGGAUAAACACAAAGGAUGAAGACACAGAAAACAGACAACUACAUACAAGACAAGGAGAAAGUUCUGGAAUGGAUCAUUGCUCUCAAGCCCCAGAAAGGCUCUCAAGCCCCAGAAGGGGCUCUACCAUGCACAGACUCUCGGCUUUCCAGCAUCUAUUACCACAAAAAUGGGGAACUUCUGCCAUUUACUGCACUUUGUUACAACAGACCUGGCGGAAGUCCAAACAAGUCCAAGGCUGACUCUGCACCCUCCCCUGCCUGCCAGCUGACCUGCCUUGUUCAAGCCUGAGAGCCUCUGGAGAGUCUCGGCUCUGUUGGGGGUUCUUUCUCACAAGCACAUCAGUAAGCAGUGGGAGGGCUGGAUCUGUGUGAUCUGACAUGUGCCUGUCCCAGACUUCCUCACAGCUCCUUCUUAGACAGCUUUCCCUGUGAAAACAGCUAGCAACCCUCAUCAGUGUCAGGCAAGAACCCCAGGACUCAUUGGGAUCAGCCUUGUCUGGCUGGAUUCUUGAACAUAUGGAGCUGGCCUAUUCUCCUGUAGCCUCUAGAGCUUCAAACCUCAGGCUCUCUUUCCUGCAGCCCUCCUACUGGCUCCUCAGUGACCCUUGGGGUUCCCAGGUAAGAGGCAAAUUGUUUAGGCAAGCCUGACAUCACUUGAAGGAAACCAAUUCAAAACAUACCAUGUGCAACUCAACUUACAGUAAGGCUCUGAAUCUCUAAGAAUUUCAUAAACAAGUAAUAUUUUAAAAAAUGGUUAUUGAUGAAGGAGAAAAGAACCUGAAGAAAUCAGAUGCUGUGAGGGAGGUUUAGUCAAGGCUUUUUCAGGUACAGUGUGUUCUAGAGUUUGACUAUUGAGCUGUAGAAAUAAAUUACCUAUUAAAAUGUGCUCUCUAUUGAAGAGGG